UUGACCCCAGCCGAGGGCAGUGAGCGCGGUGCCCGUCGGGAGCGGAAACUGCGCGGCGGGGAUGCGCGCGGGCUGGAUGACGGUAGAGUACUCGAUGCCGGGCGCCACGCGCACGAUCACCAGGUCGAAGGCCUGCGGCCAGGAGUCAGCCCUUUUCUUCACGAAGUCCGGGUGGUACACGAACUGGCGCGCCGCCACCACCGUGCCGCCCGUCACGCGGGA